UCCUGAGGGAUGGCUCAGUUGAUAGAGCAUGAGACUCCGAAUCUCAGGGUUGUGGGUUUGAGACCUACGCUGGGUGAA